rnacentral:ribozyme from 1 species
UGCCCAGCAACUCCUAUCCCUACCUCCACGCGGUACCGGCCGGAAACUAUGAGCAACCUUAGGGAAGAUCGGAUAACCAACCCCGGUGGGACCUUUGGUCGUAGGCUGACAGGGAAGG